UGGGGAUCGGUGGGGAUCAGCACAGCGGGCAGGCUCUGGCACCUCCUUGCUCUGAUUCAUUCUCAACAUGAAAUCAUGAUUUGCUGGAUAGGCACCAGGCGGGAAACUGCUCAACUUCUCCAGACCUUAACCUUCCCACCUGCUCCACAAGGAUGCUAGCGCUCCACUCAGAAGUGCGUGUUCCUCGCUAAGGUCAGGUGAGGCGCUACUCUGCUGCUCUCCCUACCAUAAACAAGCUGCCGUUCACAAUCAGCCUGGUGUCAAGUUUUUCACAGAUUCCUGC
rnacentral:lncRNA from 1 species